rnacentral:rRNA from 1 species
UACCAAGGCGAUGAUGCAUAGCCCGAGUUUGAGAGACUGAUCGGGCCACAUUGGGGACUGAGACACGGGCCCAAAACUCCUACGGGGAGGCAGCAGUAGGGAAUCUUCCACAAUGGACGCAAGUCUGAUGGAGCAACGCCGCGUGAGUGAAGUAAGGGUUUCGGCUACGUAAAAGCUCUGUUGUUGGUGAAGAAGACAGGGUAGUAACUGACCUUUGUUUGACGGUAAUCAAUUAGAAAGUCACGGCUAACUACGUGCCAGCAGCCGCGGUAAU